rnacentral:lncRNA from 1 species
AAGUGACAGAUGGGCAGGUAGCAUAUACAGCGUGGAUCCACUGGACACAGAGAUGAUUCACAUCUGGGCAGGAUGGAACAGGAUGGCACGAAAUUUCAUCAUGCUAGUCAGAAUGGUUCGCAAUUUAAAACUUAUGAAUUAUUUAUUUCUGUAAUUUUCCAUUUAAUAUUUUUGGACUGCAGUUGACCUCAGGAUAAUUGAAACUGCGGAAAGUGAAACUGCAGAUAAGGAGGACUACAAAGUAUCCAAAGUACCUGCAUAUUUGACUGUUUGGAUCCCAAUUGUUUCUUUCCUGAGUUUCAAACAGAAGACUGCUACGUCACAUCACAUACAGAGACCCAAAAAAUCAGUGGGUUUGGACUUCUCUUCUGGAUUUGGAACAUAUAUAGGGUCCCAACUAAGAUACUACAUUAAAUUUAAUUGUAAUAUCUCCUUAGACUUCUCUUGGUUGUGACAGUAUCUUGGACUUUUCUUGUUUUUCACAAUCUUGAAAGUUUUGAGGAGUGCUGAUCAGGUAUUUUAUAGAAUUUUUCUCCAUUGAGAUUUGUCUGAUGUUUUUCUUUUAAUGAGACUGGAGCUAUGUGUCUUGGGGAGGAAGAUCACAAAGGGUGAAGAAGCUGAGAGAACUCUAAACAGGAUAAUCCAAAGAAAUCCAUACCAAGACACACCAUAAUUAAAAUUCUGAAAAUGAAAGACAAAGAAAAAAAUCUAGAAAGAAAUCGGAGAAAACGGACACCUUACCUAUAAGGAAAAACAAUUUGAAUGACAGCUGAUUUCUCUUCAAGUAGUACUUAUAUAUCUCCAUUUUAUAGGAGAAUAAACUGAGGCACUAAAACGUACAGUAACCUUCUCAUGGUCACGCAGCUGGAAAGUGGAGAAGCCAGGUUGUCUGAUUCCAGGGUUUGUGUUCUUACCCUAUACUUAAUGAAGCCAUGAUUAAGCAAUCACUAUAUUAAAGACUGGCAUACAUUCAAGCCCAAUUCACCAGAACACCAAGUUAUAUGAGGUUGUGGAAUCAAAGCCCCAGUUAGUAAUGAAAUAUGAUUCUGUCUGGAAUGUUUUAAAUAUAUAUGUGUGUGUUCUUGGAACGCUCCCUGCAGUUUAAGAGAGAUUGAGAAGUGUUGGAGGAUUCAAGUGUUCUAGAUCCCACAGAGACUCAACUUAUA